rnacentral:rRNA from 1 species
CCUACGGGCGGCAGCAGUGAGGAAUAUUGGUCAAUGGGCGCGAGCCUGAACCAGCCAAGUAGCGUGAAGGAUGACGGCCCUACGGGUUGUAAACUUCUUUUAUACAGGAAUAAAGUGAGGCACGUGUACCUGUUUGUAUGUACUGUAUGAAUAAGGAUCGGCUAACUCCGUGCCAGCAGCCGCGGUAAUACGGAGGAUCCGAGCGUUAUCCGGAUUUAUUGGGUUUAAAGGGAGCGUAGAUGGGUUGUUAAGUCAGUUGUGAAAGUUUGCGGCUCAACCGGAAAAUUGCAAUUGAUACUGGCAGCCGUGAGUACAGUUGAGGUAGGCGGAAUUCGUGGUGUAGCGGUGAAAUGCUUAGAUAUCACGAAGAACUCCGAUUGCGAAGGCAGCUUACUAAACUGCCACUGACAUUGAUGCUCGAAAGUGUGGGUAUCGAACAGGAUUAGAUACCCGGGUAGUC